rnacentral:tRNA from 1 species
GGCACUUUGGCCGAGUGGUUAAGGCGUCAGUCUUGAAAACUGAUGGGCUUUGGCCCACGCAGGUUCGAAUCCUGCAAGUGUCG